rnacentral:rRNA from 1 species
UACGUAGGGGGCUAGCGUUAUCCGGAAUUACUGGGCGUAAAGGGUGCGUAGGUGGUUUCUUAAGUCAGAGGUGAAAGGCUACGGCUCAACCGUAGUAAGCCUUUGAAACUGGGAAACUUGAGUGCAGGAGAGGAGAGUGGAAUUCCUAGUGUAGCGGUGAAAUGCGUAGAUAUUAGGAGGAACACCAGUGGCGAAGGCGGCUUGCUGGACGAUAACUGACGCUGAGGCGCGAAAGCGUGGGGAGCAAACAGG